UUUCCGUAGGUGAACCUGCGGAAGGAUCAUUACAAAUCCAUCCACGUCUCAUUCCUUGAGACCACGUUGAAAUGUUCCCUAGAGUGUAUGUAUGUAUGUAUGUAUGUAUGUGUUGUGGUCUCCUCGACCUUCAGCCGCUUCAUCGGCCGUCCGUCCUGUGGUGGCACACAAUGCAAUACAAUACAAUACAAUACAAUACACACUAGGCUUGUAAACUAGUAUCAUCUGUUGCUCAAUUGUAUCUUGCUUGAUUGUAAUGAUCAAGGUAAACAAAGUACAACUUAUAACAAUGGAUCUCUAGGCUCUU
rnacentral:misc_RNA from 1 species